rfam:Camelus ferus unplaced genomic scaffold scaffold1279, whole genome shotgun sequence.
GAGGGUAUAGCUCAAAGUGGUAAAGCACAUGCUUAGCAUGCAUGAAGUCCUGGGUUCAGUCCCUAGUACCUCCA